rnacentral:sRNA from 1 species
UACAUAUAAAUCGAUGUGACUUCUCAUUA